rnacentral:rRNA from 1 species
AGUGAACGCUGGCGGCAGGCCUAACACAUGCAAGUCGAGCGGCAGCGCGUCCGACCACCCUCGGGUGGUCGGAUGGCGGCGAGCGGCGGACGGGUGAGGAAUGCAUCGGAAUCUGCCUCGUUGUGGGGGAUAACGUAGGGAAACUUACGCUAAUACCGCAUACGACCUACGGGUGAAAGUGGGGGACCUUCGGGCCUCACGCGAUGAGAUGAGCCGAUGCCGGAUUAGCUAGUUGGCGGGGUAAAGGCCCACCAAGGCGACGAUCUGUAGCGGGUCUGAGAGGAUGAUCAGCCACACUGGAACUGAGACACGGUCCAGACUCCUACGGGAGGCAGCAGUGGGGAAUAUUGGACAAUGGGGGCAACCCUGAUCCAGCCAUGCCGCGUGUGUGAAGAAGGCCUUCGG